rnacentral:rRNA from 1 species
UACGGAGGAUGCAAGCGUUAUCCGGAAUGAUUGGGCGUCAAGCGUCCGCAGGUGGCUAUGUAAGUCUGCUGUUAAAGAGUCUGGCUCAACCAGAUAAAGGCAGUGGAAACUACAUGGCUAGAGUGCGUUCGGGGCAGAGGGAAUUCCUGGUGUAGCGGUGAAAUGCGUAGAGAUCAGGAAGAACACCGGUGGCGAAAGCGCUCUGCUAGGCCGCAACUGACACUGAGGGACGAAAGCUAGGGGAGCGAAUGGG